GAUGAACGCUGGCGGCGUGCUUAACACAUGCAAGUCGAACGGUGAAGCAGGAGCUUGCUCCUGUGGAUCAGUGGCGAACGGGUGAGUAACACGUGAGUAACCUGCCCCAGACUCUGGGAUAAGCGUUGGAAACGACGUCUAAUACCGGAUACGAGACGAGAAGGCAUCUUCAUCGUCUGGAAAGAAUUUCGGUCUGGGAU
rnacentral:rRNA from 1 species